rnacentral:rRNA from 1 species
AUUGAACGCUGGCGGCAUGCCUUACACAUGCAAGUCGAACGGUAACAGGUCUUCGGAUGCUGACGAGUGGCGAACGGGUGAGUAAUACAUCGGAACGUGCCUUGUAGUGGGGGAUAACUACUCGAAAGAGUGGCUAAUACCGCAUGAGAUCUAAGGAUGAAAGCAGGGGAUCGCAAGACCUUGUGCCACUAGAUCGGCCGAUGGCAGAUUAGGUAGUUGGUGGGAUAAAAGCUUACCAAGCCGACGAUCUGUAGCUGGUCUGAGAGGACGAUCAGCCACACUGGGACUGAGACACGGCCCAGACUCCUACGGGAGGCAGCAGUGGGGAAUUUUGGACAAUGGGCGCAAGCCUGAUCCAGCAAUGCCGCGUGCAGGAUGAAGGCCUUCGGGUUGUAAACUGCUUUUGUACGGAACGAAAAGCCCUGGGUUAAUACCCUGGGGUCAUGACGGUACCGUAAGAAUAAGCACCGGCUAACUACGUGCCAGCCGCCGCAGUAAUAC